CAGCACACUGAGAAGAAAUGGCAGGCCUGGAAUGCCUAUAUUUCAAACUCUCCGACCUGGAUGCCCUGCUCCAGCCCACUGACAGCCAGGAAAGCUGCUGAACUUGCCACCCUCGCACAGAGCACCGUCCUGAAGCUGUCUGGGCCACACGGUACUCACAAAUUUGAAUAAGUAUAACAAAAGUGGUAGUAACAACUGUGUGAAGCCAGUGAUGUAGGCGGGGGCAGGCACCUGGGAUUAACAAGAAGCACCUUUCUUCAGCCAUUGCUCCCACGCAGGUUCCACAGCUACAGGAAAACUCCUGUAAGGAGAUGUUCUUGAGAUAGAGCAAGGUGCUCGUGGAAGGGCCCAGAUAAACACCCGAACUGGAAGGAAGUCAGUGCGUUCUUCCUCUUCUGAUGUACUGGCCUAACAUCACCAAAAGCUGGACCUCUGGCACCUCAGCCGGGACUCAGCGGCUAUAACAACACACCUCCACUUGAGCCCAGUGAAGAGGCACUCCUGAAAGGCAAACUAUGUACAGAAUGCUACUCCACUAUCAGGAACUUCUCUAGGCAGGAUUUUUGCCAAAUCCUGGACCAUGAGGCUGCAACAAUUGGCUGGACUAUGUAUUCACUUUUUUAAUGUUUCAGAGGAAGGAAAAGUAGUCCCUACAACUGGGCUGAAGCAAUCAUGGCUUUUCAAGUAGCGAGUACUAUAAUAAACAC